GUGCACUUAGCUCAGUGGUUAGAGCACCCUUCUAGAGUUCGGGGACAAAAAGUCAUGGGUUGAGUCCCAUAGUGCACA
rnacentral:tRNA from 1 species